CAGUAGCCACGGUAAUACGUAGGGUGCAAGCGUUAAUCGGAAUUACUGGGCGUAAAGCGUGCGCAGGCGGUUCGUUAAGUCUGUUGUGAAAGCCCCGGGCUCAACCUGGGAAUGGCAAUGGAUACUGGCGAGCUAGAGUGUGUCAGAGGAUGGUGGAAUUCCCGGUGUAGCGGUGAAAUGCGUAGAGAUCGGGAGGAACAUCAGUGGCGAAGGCGGCCAUCUGGGACAACACUGACGCUGAGGCACGAAAGCGUGGGGAGCAAACAGGAUUAGAUACCCCGGUAGUCCCUGUCUCUUAUAC
rnacentral:rRNA from 1 species